UACGGAGGGGGCAAGCGUUAUCCGGAAUUAUUGGGCUUAAAGGGCGCGCAGGCGGUUUGGUAAGUCUGUUGUGAAAUCUUCGGGCUUAACCCGGAAACUGCCAUUGAUACUAUUUAUCUUGAAUACUUUGGAGGUAAGCGGAAUAUGUCAUGUAGCGGUGAAAUGCUUAGAUAUGACAUAGAACACCAAUUGCGAAGGCAGCUUACUACACAGUUAUUGACACUGAGGCACGAAAGCGCGGGGAUCAAACAGG
rnacentral:rRNA from 1 species